AUUGUUUCUGAGAGGAUACAUGUCCACCUUAUGAAUUUUGCCAUUGCUUUUUAGAUACUUGGCAUAUCGAAAUUUUAUGAUUGACACGUAUCGUCUAAACCCCCAAGAGUAUUUAACUAGCACUGCUUGUCGGAGGAACUUGACUGGAGAUGUGUGUGCUGUGAUGAGGGUCCAUGCCUUUUUAGAGCAGUGGGGACUCGUUAAUUACCAAGUUGACCCGGAAAGUAGACCCAUGGCAAUGGGACCUCCUCCUACUCCUCAUUUUAAUGUAUUAGCUGAUACCCCCUCUGGGCUUGUGCCUCUGCAUCUUCGAUCACCUCAGGUUCCUGCUGCUCAACAGAUGCUAAAUUUUCCUGAGAAAAACAAGGAAAAACCAGUUGAUUUGCAGAACUUUGGUCUCCGUACUGACAUUUACUCCAAGAAAACAUUAGCAAAGAGUAAAGGUGCUAGUGCUGGAAGAGAAUGGACUGAACAGGAGACCCUUCUACUCCUGGAGGUAAGCAGAUUAAUGCAUAUGGGAUGUGUGCUAAGAUUCUUUGACUAGCAUUUUAUUUUGUUUUGUUUUAUUUAGAGGCAGGGUCUCGCUGUGUCACCCAGGCUGGAGUGCAGUGGCCUGAUGGUAGCUCAGUGCAGCCUCUACCUCCCAGGCUCAGGCGAUCCUCUUACCUUCAGUCCUGAAUAGCUGGGACUAAGGGCGUGUGCCACCAUGCCUGGCUAAUUUUUGUAUUUUUUGUAGCAAUGGGCUUUCACCAUGUUGUCCAGGCUGGUCUCAAACUCCUGGACUCAAGCAAUCCUCCCACCUUG
rnacentral:lncRNA from 1 species